AACAAUGCUUUGAAAAGAAGAGUACAUUUGAACGGCACGUUUAGAGAGUCUGAUUAGGUGAAAGCAGACCGUGAGAUACAGAUGGAAGAUGGUCUUGGAGCAUGAUAGAUGAGCACUUUGCAAGUCUAUGACGGUGACACCCGUUAUCGUGUCUCGGUAUAACAUUUUUUAAUGCGUACCGAUAGAGGUCAUAAUUGUAAGAUUAUGAUAAACAAAGGUGGUAACACGAACUAUACGUUUCGUCCUUGUG
rnacentral:ncRNA from 1 species